rnacentral:rRNA from 1 species
AUGAGGUUGCGGUCGACGCUGAGCUUGUUGAGGGUGAGCGUGCCCGUCUUGUCGCUGCAGAGCACGUCCAUGCCGGCCAUCUCCUCGAUGGCCGUCAUGCGCUUGGUGAUGGCGCCCUGCUUCGACAGCCGAUGUGAGCCGAUGGCCAUGGUGACCGACAGCACAGUGGGCAUCGCGAUCGGGAUGCCGCCGAUGAGGAGCACAAGGAGGUUGUCGAUGCCGUCGCGGUACCGGCGGUGCUGGAUGAAGUACAUGACGAUGAUCUCGACGAUCAUGCCGAUGGCGAUGGCGCCAAUGCAGAAGUUACCAAUGGCCCGGAGCACCUUCUGGAAGUGGCCGACCUGGUUGGUGCUGUCCACGAGGUGUGCCGCCUUGCCGAAGAAGGUGUGCACGCCGGUGGCGAUGACGACGGCCUCGAUCUCGCCCUGCUUGCACGUGGACCCCGAGUAG